rnacentral:rRNA from 1 species
UGGGGAAUUUUGGACAAUGGGGGCAACCCUGAUCCAGCAAUGCCGCGUGAGUGAAGAAGGCCUUCGGGUUGUAAAGCUCUUUUGUCAGGGAAGAAACGGUAGUAGCGAAUAACUACUACUAAUGACGGUACCUGAAGAAUAAGCACCGGCUAACUACGUGCCAGCAGCCGCGGUAAUACGUAGGGUGCAAGCGUUAAUCGGAAUUACUGGGCGUAAAGCGUGCGCAGGCGGUUGUGUAAGUCAGAUGUGAAAUCCCCGGGCUCAACCUGGGAAUUGCAUUUGAGACUGCACGGCUAGAGUGUGUCAGAGGGGGGUAGAAUUCCACGUGUAGCAGUGAAAUGCGUAGAUAUGUGGAGGAAUACCGAUGGCGAAGGCAGCCCCCUGGGAUAACACUGACGCUCAUGCACGAAAGCGUGGGGAGCAAACAGGAUUAGAUACCCUUGUAGUCCCUGAGCGGGCUGGCAAGGCGCAU